CAGAGUUAUUCCAAACUCCCAACCCUUUGUGAACCAUAUCGUCGUUGCCUCGGCGUGAGCGGCGGCUACCCUGGAGUAGUUACCCUGUAGUAGCUGGGAGCACCUACCCUGUAGGAGCUACCCUGUAGCUAGGGCAUCUACCCUGGAGCUGCAAACAACGCCCGCCGGAGGACCACUAAACUCUUGUUUUUACCAUGUAUUUCUGAAUGCUUCAACUAUAAAUAGUUA
rnacentral:misc_RNA from 1 species